GCAUGCACAAGGUGGUUCACACAACGGCGAUGGCAAUGGCGGCCACUCGAGCUCCGUGAAUCCACUCCACCCCUUCUUCAACCCACGAAGCUGAGAGAAGCUCCAUCCAAGCUCCAUCUAGUCUCUUUCUCAGACCUCGCCGGAAAGCUCUUGUCUCCGCUUUCGUUCGAGCCGGAGGAGCUGGCAGAGAUGAUAACCUCCUCAAUAGCACUGGUUCCUCCAACGAUCUGAAUCGUUCUUUUCUUGAUUCUUCUUCUGAGUUUGCUUCCAAGGACCCUUCAACACUUCCUCAUGAGCUAUGAUUAUGGAAAAUGGAGGCAUUUGAGCCCCUUAUCGUUUUCACUCAAUGUGAGCAUACCCUAGCAAAGUUAAUUAGGAGUUGUUAAUUAGAAAAAAUGUGGAUGAUGCAGUUGGGGCUGCGAAGUUUAUUGCUGAUAACAAGCUUGAAGAUGCUGGUGCUGUUGCAAGUUCAUUAGCAGCUGAACUCUAUGGUUUAAACAUCUCGCCAGAGAU